CCCCAUCCUCACCCCACCUGCCCUAUGAAGUUUGACUCCUUUGAACUGUAAUGUCCCAGGAUUGUAGUGCUGGAGCAGGAUUAGUCCCAGGCAACAGCAUUCCAGUUGGCUAAUUCUGAAGCCAGUUGGCAGGGAGCAUAAAAGUAGGAGGGCCUUGUGCCAGCUGCUAAGCAUACAAGGUGUGUAUGUGUGUGUGCGCAAGCUAAGCAUACGGGGUGUGUGUGUGUGUGUGUGUGUGUGUGUGUGUGUGUGUGUGUGUGUUGGAAGGAAAGCAUCGGGAAGUAAUCCAAACUAGAAGGGCUAUGGUCAUCUACCCUGUGUUGAUUAUGGAAGUCCUUUGCUUUCAUGUCACUUGCAAAUUUGAAGUGGGCUGGAGUGGAGGUAGGGGGGGUUGCAGUUGAGGGGGCAAUUCUGUCUCCACUCUAAAAUCAGCUGGGAUUGUACUCAGUAGAAGCCUUGGACACAAUAAAGCAAAUUCAGAGUAUUGUUA
rnacentral:lncRNA from 1 species